CCAUAGCGUAGUAGUAAAACCCUCGUUACUGGUAAUCGUCGCGGCCACGCCGUUAAACCCCAACUUCUGAAUGUUGACCUCGGAUCAGGUAGGAAUACCCGCUGAACUUAAGCAUAUCAAUAAGCGGAGGA
rnacentral:rRNA from 1 species